rnacentral:rRNA from 1 species
UACGUAGGGGGCUAGCGUUGUCCGGAUUUAUUGGGCGUAAAGAGCGUGUAGGCGGCCAUGUAGGUCCGGUGUGAAAACUCGAGGCUUAACCUCGAGAUGUCAUCGGAAACCAUUUGGCUAGAGUCCGGAAGAGGAGAGUGGAAUUCUCGGUGUAGCGGUGAAAUGCGUAGAGAUGUGGAGGAACACCGAUGGCGAAGGCAGCCUCCUGGGCCAGCACUGACGCUCAUGCACGAAAGCGUGGGGAGCAAACAGG